rnacentral:lncRNA from 1 species
AGAGACACAACUUUUAUAAACAAAAUAAAUGACAUUAAGAAAAGUAUGUCGCGGGAUGAUCAACAUUUCAUUCUUCAUAGUUUUUUCGUCUUAUAUAAUACAACAUUGAGCAUACAGGGAGACUUAUUUAGAGGUAGAUGUAGAAGGAAAGGUAGAAGAAGAGUGAUCAGUACCCUUUGUGUCAGUUGAAAAAAAGACUGAUUGGUUUUCACUAGAAGUUACUUGCAUCUCAUCAUAUUUGUCUCUUAAACCUUGAAAAUUCAAUUCAUCACCGUAGCCACUUGAAUCGAAGUUAGAUUCAUCGAUGUUCAAACGACCUUCAAGCAUGUUCACCACUGCAGACAUGUUUGGCCUUAGUACUGGAGAUGGAUUAGUACAUCGUAAAGCCACUUUAAUCAUCCUCAACGCCUCCUUCUUGUCGUAAUUGGAACCUAACCUUGGGUCUACUAGCUCCAAAAACUUGCCCUUUUUUUGUAGAACCAGGGCCUGAGAAGUACAAUAUUGAAUGGGAAAACUUGUGAAAGAUACUUUUUGAAAUACUACCAAGUCUACUUGAUCAACACAAAAUGAAGUUCUCAUUAAGCAAACUAAGACGUGCUAUAAAUGUUUACUAUUCAUGGAACUGAUACCAAGAGAUGCUGGUUUCUUACCCAAUCAAGAAGACAGACAUAAUUCUCAUCAGGAUGAUAUUUCAUGUUGUUCUUCCCAGCAACGAGUUCUAAUACAACCACUCCAAAACUGUAUAAAUCUACUUUAUGUGUUAAAUAACCCCAAAGUGCAUAUUCAGGGGCCAUAUAACCUCUGUAAAAACAAAUUAACAAAGUUAUACGAGCUUGACUGAACAGGAACGUCCUGAAAGGCUUAAACUAAUGCUCUAUACCUCAACUCUAGGUAAAAAUGGACAGCAGAAGUAAUUGUUACACCUUCCAUUAUAAAACUGAUUGCCAUAGUUUGACUUACAUGAUUUUGAAGAGAAUAAUCUUUACUAGUUUAUUAUAGUUGUAAUAUAAAACAUGGAUUUUCAAAAGACGAGUAGCUUUGAAGAAUAAUAUGAAAUGAUAGAUAACCUUUAUAAUCUGUUGAACUCUUGGGAUCAGUAAGGCGCUAGCCAUAACCUUUUGGAAUUAUAUAAUGAGUAAAGAUUACAUUCAGAAAAAAGAUACAACUGAUAUGACCUAAAUGGAAGGAUGACAUUCAAAAGAUUAAAAUUUGAUCAAUCAAUUAGAGUAGUUUAGAAGCUCACAUAGUCCCAGCAACCCUGGUGGUGACAUGUGUUUUCUCCUCGUCAUGAAGUUUGGCCAGACCAAAGUCUGAGAUCUUUGGAUUUAGGUCUUUGUCAAGGAGUACAUUGGUUCCUUUGAUGUCUCUGUGAAUCAUCUUUAGAGGUGAUUCUUCGUGUAGGUAAGCCAAGCCUUUAGCUAUGCCGACACAGAUCUUUUGCCUAGUUGGCCAGUCCAGUUUUGGUUGACAGUCUUCAGGACCUGCAGUUUACUACAAAUUGAAACUAGGCCAAUAUUCACACAAAAUCACACACACACUUAUGUAUGAACACAGAUGAAGAUAUAAACAUGGGAAUCAUGCCAGUUACGUUAUUGAGGGAGAAUUGGGAUCACCAAACUUCUUUUUGUUUUGGAGUGGUGCCCUUUUUUACUUUUACCUCAAGUAAACACCAAUAAUAACCAGUGUAAUCCCACAAGUGGGUCUAGGGAGGGUGGUUCAUACGUAGCCUUACCCCUACCCUGUGAAGAUAGUGAGCUUGAUUCCAAUAGAUCCUCGGCUCAAGUAAAGCAUAUCAAAAUCAAGUAUCGAAAAAUAACAUUUACCAAACAAAACAUGGGAAAGGUUAUUGUUCUCCAUGUACUCAUAAACUAGUAAAAGUUGGUUCCGUUCAACACAACAUCCAUAGAGUCGGACGAGAUUUGGAUGAUGUAAGCCUGACAUCAUUCCUAUUUCAUUCACAAAUUCACGGUUCCCUUGUCUUGACUUGGAUGAAAGCUGCUUGACAGCAAUAAUAGUACCAUCUGCUAGUGUACCCUGAGGAUUGAAAAAAAUGUAUGAAGAGCAUAAUUUGUCUGAAACAUCCAGUAGGAUUUCCACAGGGAGGGAUAAGAAGGAAGAAUUAUGAGAAUUUGUAUAUACAUUCACCUUGUAGACAGAUCCAAAUCCACCUUCACCAAGCUUAUUUGCAGCAUCAAAGUUACUUGUGGCAGCUUUAAUUUGUCUGAAAGUAAAUAUACCAGUUUGCAGAUCUAGUCCUCUUAAUUCUACACAACAGUAAAGGAACAAGUUUAGGAUGUUAGUUUCCCACAAGAUAAAUAAAAGAAAAUUUUAGCUUGAAAAGCAUACAAGAAAUUCUGGAAAGUUAGCACCUUCUAACCUAUAUUCAUCACCCUUGUUUUCCCCAACCUUUAACUAGUGAAAUCAUGAAUUUGGAUAGCAUAUAAGUUUAAUGUGGCAGGAAGUCUUCCAAAUUGAUAAUUACACCUAGUAUUUCAUAUGGUACAAUCAUUCACAUGUACUUCAAUUUGCAAAACCACUCAAUUUCUGGAAUCACCCAGAAUGCAACAGAAGUUUUUUUAAUUACAUUCUACUUGUCAGGCAUAAACCAAAAUUGAGGUCUAGAGUCACCUUGUUCCAUCAAUUUCCUGUUUCUUCUUUUCUUCCAAGCAACAAAGAAAAUCAUCAAAACGAGAGCUAAAGAAGACGUCACUGCUCCAGCUACAAUUAGAAUCUUCUUUUUCUGAUUAGAAGAGGUCUCCUGCGGAGGAGGGGGCUUGAAGUCUAAUUACAGAACGAAAAGUUCAACAAUGUUAGACACUCUGGAAUUUACUUGUAUACCGGAAAUCAUAGAUAUUAUGCAUAGCUUAGUCAAUGAGAGAACAUCUAAUCUAUAGCUUCUUGAGCUUCAACCAUAUAAUCAUGAGUGAGUGAUCUUGUACGGAUUCCAACUCCGAAAAGGUCUUAAUUUUUAAAUAAGAUGCAAGGGUGAGUAACUUUUGCGAAGGAGACUUUCUCACUAUGUGACAGUGAAGAAGAAGAGAUGCUACACCUAAAAAAUUAAAGUGAAGACAGAGUAUUACUAGCUUCCAGAGAGAUGGCAGAUACUAAAGGACCAUAGUUUCCUCUACUCGGGAUUGAUGUAGUUCCUUUCCCAGCAUACUGGAAGCGCACUUGUAAAGUUUUAUCUUUUACUGUUACAUUAAACUUUUCUUUCAAAGCUUUAUCAACUCCUCCGGCUAGUCUUUCAAUAUCAAAAUCUUUGAACUUCAAUUUGUCCUGCAUCCAUUUAAACUUAAUCAGCUGCAGCUAAUUGGAUAUUUUACUGUAUCUAAUUCUCUGACAUGCUGGUUCACCUGUAUGUAUACAUCAAAUAUUCGUCUUCCAAGACUUUGGAAAGAUUGGUCGUCUCUGUAAACUAUUUCUGCGAAAUGAAGUGUCAAAGUGUAGUUUCCAUUUGCUAAGCAACGUCCAAAGUAAGUCAUAGAUAAAGGGGAGAGGUGAGCUGUCAUGUAAAGUUGAGGUUCAUCUCCCUUGAUAGCAGAUACAUUUUUUGCUUUGUGGUCAUUCAACGAUACGUUGGUAUCCCAGAAAUGUCCUGUACUGCUGGUUCCCCAGUUCCCUUUCCAGUAAACAAAUUUUGCAGCACCUGCUGAGUCUUCAUCUGCUACAUAAGUAGUGUCUCCAACAGUUACAUUUCCUCCACCACAAUUUAUGUGCAAUGAGUACUUGUCUGCAAUAUUCAAACCAGAGAUAGGUUACUAGACUCAAUGAAUAUAUUUCAGAAAUAUAAGACAAUGAUAAAACUGUUCAGUUCUUGUAGAUUUUCAUAGAAACUGUCUAGUGCUAAAAUGUUUUCCAUGACCUAACUAGUUUACAAAAGUAACCAAAUUAUGCCUUCCUACUCAUGUCUAUUGAUUGUCAACAAGAAGCUGGUAAAUCCUGCACAAUGGAAAAAUAUCAAACAAAAGAUUUAGAUGAGAGGGUAGAAUUCUGCAAAGAGUGAGUACUCACCCUCUGAACACGGACUGGCUGAGAAGCACUUUCCGCGCUCUCUGAAGUAGUUGAAAGAGGUGUCAGAGAGGACAAGUCGUUUUCAAAGAAUAAUAGUCAAUAGUUUAUUUGACAUUAAAUACUUACACAAAAUUCUCGACCUUAAAGCUUCUGAAUAAGUUUCUGAUAAGAAAAGAAAACCAAACAUGGAAUCAUCUGAACCAUAUAUGCAUAGAAGAAGAUAGGAGAAAGUGUAAGACACACAAGGAUCAUACAGGUUGUCCCGACAGGUAGAUGGCUCAGAGAUUUCAUCAAAUUUAUUGUAGGAAAGGUCUAUCACGCUGAAAGAAGAUAGGAGAAAGUGUAAGACACACAAGGAUCAUACAGGUUGUCCCGACAGGUAGAUGGCUCAGAGCUUUCAUCAAAUUUAUUGUAGGAAAGGUCUAUCACGCUGCAUCAAAGAUAUCCGACAUGGUUAAGAGCUCAUCAAGUAUUUUCAAUCUAAUGAGAGGCCUUCACUUAGAGAAAAUAGAUUUAAAUGCAAUGAAAUUAAUGACAAUUCAGCUAGUUAAAUCUCAAUAUCUUUAUUUAUUGCCCAUCAAACUAAUUUUCACAAAGCUAUCAUUGUUCCUCACAAAAAAAACUUACAAAGGCAAGACUCAAGAAUUCAAGUUCUGGACUAGGCAUCUAUGAAUGACUUUUUAAUCUGAUUCUCUAUGUGAGCAACCACAUUUUUGGUUGUGACCUUUAAUGCUUCCUUCUAUAUCUGUCACCCUGUUAUAUAAUCCUACCUUGAAGUACAUGUCCUUUGUUAAAUCGAAUUCUAAAUAGUGACUAGUGUAUAUCGAAAAGCAAGACAAGAAAUUAUACUUACUUUCUGGUAUCUCGACUAGUAAGCCAAUCUGGAAUUCGCCCAACAAAAUCAUUGCCAGUCAGAUACCUAGCAAGCAGGAAAUAUUUGAUUUAACUAGGAGAUCACAAAUUUGAAAUGCAAUAUAUGCAUUACAUGUUCAAGAACAUUUAUCAGCUACACACAAAAAUGGAAAGAGAUUGCCAAUCAAAUGAAGACUCAUUUUUCUGUGCAGUUCAUGAGAGAAUACUACUGAGCUACAAACAAACCAUCUAACAUCAAAAUCUCAAAAUUUUGUGGGCAAAAAAUAAGAAAUAUCAUGUAAAAGGCAUUUGCCAUCUAAGACUGUUUCUGUCAUUGAGGCAAUUUUCUUCUUUUCUUCAAAUGAAAGAAAAGGGUUUGAGCAUUUGGAAAGGAUACAGAAGAUUGAUGGAUGAGGCAUCAACACUCUUAUAGUAAGACUAGUAUAAUGAAACAGAGAUGCAAAAGAAAUAUUUCCACAUAAAAUUGUAGGAAUCUUCGUGUUGUUUUGACUUACGUGGCCUCCAUCUCAUUCAUGCCCUCAAGAUUUGCAAUUCCUCCUUCAAGCUUGUUGAAACUCAGAUCUCUGCAAUGACCAAUAAACAGAGUCGAACUCAACAGUGCUCAAUCCCAUUGGCUGAACAAACUAUCGCACAAUUGUUAAAAGCUUAAUUAAGUUUAGAUAAAGGAUAGAGAAAAUGAAAGCUCCGAUGACAUUUUUGUAAAGAUCAUUUUGUUUCAAGAAAGAAUGAAAAUUGGUCCAUUCAGCAAAAGUGAGGUAUGUUGUUUGCAUCUAUUCAAGAUUCAACAACCCAUUGACCUCUCCCAUUCAAAAAGAGGAGGCUAGUAGAAGGAAAAGAAGAAAACAAAGAAGUCCAGAGGAGAGUUACACAUGCACAAAACGUCUUGCUUUAAGUGGAGUGGACACAGCUUUGUAUAGCAGGAAAAGGGGAAAAAAUUGAAAUAAAUUCAAUAAUACUUUGAAAAUAGUGGAAUUACAAAAACCGUAAGUGGACCAUUUCAGCUACAGAAUCAUGAAUAUUCCCAUGUAUAUUACAGCUUCUCAAAACCCUGCAGUCAAAACACAGUUUCAGAGAAUUGACUUUCCUUGAUAAAGGAUGUGUUGGAAAGUUCAUUUGCAAUUCCCAAAUCAUCAAGUACUCACAAUUUAGACAUCCUGGUCAUGUUUGUAAGUGAUGGAAACUCUGAAGCACCUCCUUUGAGGUCACUGAUUCUUCUGUAUAUGCAUCAUCUGAGCCUUAAUUAUCUUGAUUUCUACUUUGCUUUUAAUCAUAAGAGCAUUGCAAAAAGCAAAAUAAACUUUUCAUAUAAAGCGUAAACUUACAAUUCUUCCAAACUGGUCAAAACAGAAAAACUUGGGGGUAGUGGUCCUUCAAAUCCAGAACCUUCAAUUUCUCUGUCAAAAGAGCAUAUACUAAUUCUACUGGAAAUUCUAACUUGUACAAAUAUUACCAAGUGAAAAUACUCACAACUUCUGGAGGUUUUUCCAAUCCUCAAAGUUAGGCAGUUUCCCAACAAAGCUGUUACUGGUUAUCCUACUGUGUUGAUGCCAAAAGGGAAAGCCAAGAAUUCAACUCUACAUAUGUGGAAGAAGACUAGGAAAUCUCAUCUCAGAUGUAUAUUCAAAUGCGCUCACAGUUCAAUCAAUUUCGUAAGAUUAUUCAGUUCCACUGGCCACUCUCCUGUGAAAUUAUUAGCUUUGAGAUUGCUGCAACAAUCAAAGUUCAUAGAAUUUAGAAUCAAAUCCAGCUCACACUUGAUCUGCUCUAGUAAAAACACACAAUAAUUUAAAAGCAACCACUCAUUCAUUUAAAGUGAUUAAGCAAUUGGAAGAGGUGUCCUUGCUAAGCAUGGGUGAAGUAAAACAACCUUGAAGAAGCAUGUGCCUAAAGAAGUAACACGCAAAGCAAUCCGCGCAGGCAUGAUUUUUAAAAAUUAAAAAGGGGAUAAAAAGACCUUUUUUUUCAUUUGAGUACUAGGGCUCCUCUCUUCAUAUGCUUAGUGAUCUCUUCGUUGUCUCUUUCUACUUCUUCUCGGGUUCACUACGACUCUUCUUCUACUCUGUUUAUUCUAGAUUUGAUUCUUUCUUAUUUUUCUUCUCCUUCUGUGUGUGUCUUCUUCUUUUCCACUUCUAAGUUGACGAUAAUUUCAAUUCUUUUCUCUCAUUCUGUCACAAAAAUUAUUUCUGUUUUUCUUUUUCGUUCUCACUAUUUCAUUUUCUAUUUCUAACAUCUUUAUUCAUGUACAUUUUAAUGAUGUUUUGUAAGAAUUUUUGGAAUUAAGUAUGUUAUUGUUGUAUAUGAUAUUGAAAGUAGUAGAGUCAGUUUGCAGUUUUGAUGUUACAAAUAAUAAAUUUCCAUAUGUUAGCUAUUUUAGUGUUUCAUCCUAAAAUUAUACGCUUUACUUUAAAGAAGGUACACUGUACACGUGACUUGCUUCUCGCAUAUUAAUAGUCUCAGAAGCAAUUCGAAUUAUUGCACUUCUUGCUUUCUAAAAGACUACAGAGAUGCAUUUAUCAUCAAACACAGCAUGCCCUCAUUGAUGACAGUUAUAAGCUAUGACCUAUUCCUUCUAUCUUGAUGGACGGUGACAAUGUAUGGAAGCAUAACUCUCUUAUUAUUAAGAAUAACCUCCACACCACGGCCUUUCCUAAUGACGGGACCUUGCAAAGAACUGCAUCCUACAAAGGUGCUUAAACUAGAAUCUUAACCAAACACAACUAAGAACCCCUUUCCACCUCAGAGUUGGUCCUUAGCAUAAAAUGAAGCUCUCAGGUCUCCAGGCGACAAUGGUUGGCUCUCAAAACCCACAAUAUUGACCUUGUUUUCGAACAAUUUUGAUCAGAACAUCCUCACUUGAACUCAACAUUGUAUCACUUUCCCUUCAUUGGAAGUACACUUACAUAGCCUUAAUACCUGGAGCCGUAUCCUAUAUCUCUUGCCUUACUUCUCCUUUCUAUAGUACCCCAAUGUACCAGACAAAGCAUUGUCCCCCCAAGGAAAUAGUUGAAUGAUUAAGAUAUAGGAGUAACAAUUUGAAACACAGCAACAACACUCAAUGUGAGCUCAUCUGCUCUAACCUAGGUGGACAGGCUUAUUGGCACAUGUGCUUGUGGGAUGUAGUAAGCUAUUAUGAAGACUGAUUGAGAUGUGUGCAAGCAUGCCUGAACACCACAGCUAAAAAAAAUGUACCAAACAAAACAUCUAUACAUGGUCACCUUGCAAAAACUGCUCAAUCAGUCUCUCAUUUUGGAUUUUCAUAGUCUACUCCCUCAACAACCAUCUCCAAUUCUCCAUUCUAUUCUUUAGCUUCAUUUCACUUUAACUCACGAUCACAUCUUCCACACAAUACAAAUAGUAAAUUGACUUGUGAAAAUCAGUUAGGAAAUAGAAGAGUAAGGAAGACUUACAGCAUCUGUAAAUUGACCAGAUUCCCUACUUCUGCUGGUAACGAUCCAUUAAACAAGUUAGUCUCCAAACUCCUGAAAAAUUAUGAUGACUUCAGAAUAUUUCAAGUAGUCAUGUACAGUCAGUCAGUCCGAGAAAAGUGAAAGCAAGGGAACUUACAAUCUCACAAGCAAGGUCAUAUUUCCUAUGUACUCUGGGACAUGCCCAGAUAACCGAUUAUUAGAAAUAGCCCUGGAAAACUUCAAAUUCAUGAGAAGCCCUAAAUCAAAGGUUAAAUUUUAACAAUGUAUAUGAAUAAAUUGCCUCACAUGAGUUCCAACUUGGUGGACGCCCAUGCAGGGGGAAUUGUACCACUUAAGUAGUUGCGGUUGAGAUUACUGCAAAAAAGGUAAAAUCAUAAUGAUUUUAAAAAUAAGUAAACUUCAAACUGAUUUUCUAACAAUUGUUCUGGAUGCUCUCAGUACAUAUUCCUCAGAUAUGGUAACUUCGCCAGAGAUGCAGGGAGGACACCUGCAAGAUCCUGCCCUAUGAGAGAUCUGUUAACAAUUAGAGCAGCUGCUGUCAGAAUCACUAGAUUUAGAAAAAAUCCUGUCCAGUUUUUAUAAUCUCAAUCAGUUUCAUAAUGCAACGAAGUGGCAAUUAGAUAAAUAAUUCCAGAAAUAGUCAUGUGAUAUUUGAAUAUGUAGAUAAAGACAUGGUAUUCAAACAAUAAAUCUAAUACCAGUCUAUUAUAAGCUUAUACCUAAUAUCACCUAACAAAUUUUUUUUAAUUGAGAUAUCAACCAAAACAGUAGAAGUAAUCCAAACUAACGGUGUGUUUAUAACUUAUAUUCUGGUAUUUGGUAAGUAUGCAAAAAAUAUUAGCUCAAGAGCAUUUGUAUAUAAUUUAGGCAAAAAAUAUGGGGGAUGGGGCUGAGGAGGAGACAAUCAAUGUGGAAUGUCACUAUGGAACUUGUUUCUUUACUUCCAUUACCCGAAGAAAUCGUCCAGUUCCUAGAAAAUGUAUUUUCCGGAAAUUUUAACCAACCAAACAAAGGAAAAUUGAAGAACAUAUUUUAGAAAACGCUUCCCUUCAUAUCAACCACACCCUAAUAAGGUCUUCAGUUUUCUUUUCCUGACUUGUGAUCUUCGAAAAGGAAACCCUGAGGACUUCCUCAAUAUACCAAAAAUUUAGUCUUAGCAGUUUAAUCUGGACCAAUACAUUGAAACCCAUUGCCCAUGGAUAAAGAAAAACCAUUUCAACAUUAAAAAAAAAAAAACUAGAGCAAACAUAUAAUAACGGAUUUUAAACUGUAACCAAGCAUCGCCUAUUGGUUCUAUCUAUAUCCCAUAAAACCAAAUAUAAAGUCAAUAAUUUUGCUUCCUAACAGGAAUUCAGUAAAGGGUCAGAAGCAUAACUACAUUAACACAUCAAUUUUCAUAACUUCAACAACUACUUAACAAAACACAUCCAUUGGAGAGAGGGAGGGAGUAAUAUUGGAGACUCACAUGUUUUCCACAUGACAAAGAUUAUCAAGUAAAGUGCAGUUGCAUUCUAGGAUAUUGGUAUACAAAGGCAUAUCUUUCCUUUUGGGUGUGCUCCAAUUUGAGUUCCCAUCACAAGGGUUUAGCUUUAAAAUCCCCAAUCUUUUUUUCCCCAAUUGAUCAGCUAUUUCUCUAAGAGCUUUCACUGCCAAUCAAAGUAAAUGGGCAUCAACUUUCUUUCACAUACAUUAACUACAAAAUGAAAAAGUUCAAAUCUUUUUACCUUCAUCUUUUGGAAGUUGACCAGUUUGUGCUUCAAUGUUGCCUGCUGUAAAACAAAUAACUAUGGUGAAGAAGAUGAGAAAGAAAUUGAAGAUUCUUGGCAUGGUCCCUUAAACUUCAAAAGCUUGAGUACUACUCAUAUGAAAAUUUCAGAGAUUUUUUUGUGUCUUUUUCUGAGAAAAUGAAGUUGCUCUGAGGAAAAAAUUGUUUAAAAAAAAUGGAGAUCAUAGAUUUGAGGAGAAGAAGACAAGUUGCUGAAAAAGAAUUGAACAUACGGAGACAAUGAUGAACCUGUUCUAUUACUAUACUUUAUUUUAUAGUACUAGUAAAAUAGUUUGUUUGUUUAUGGUUUUUGUGACCCAAAAAUACAGUGUACAUAACUGCAUGAGAAGAGAAUUUAAAAUGAAAAUGCUCUUUUCUUCGACAUAAAGUUACUUUUACUCCCAUAUUUAAUACUAAUAAUGUUCCCACAUGGCAUGGCAGAUAAUAUUAAUACUAAAGUAUUACUCCUUUCGUUUUAAUUUAUAUAACAUAUUUCAAAUUUUAAGAUUCAGAUAAGUUUUUUUUAAUUAUAUUUUUAAAUAAUUUGAGUUAUAAUUAUUGUGACUUACUAUAUUUUCUACGUAGUAUUCAAAUGUAUAAAUCUUAUUUCAAAAAAUUUAACAUUUUCAUGCUUGAAUUUAUGAUCAAAAUUAAAUUAUUUGACACCAUAUAAAUUGAAACACGUAGGUAUUAUAUAGGAGUCUUCCAUUUCAAAUGAUUUAUCUUACUCUUUAUUUAGUCCAUGUUAAUUUUUUUUUAAAAUAUUUUAUUCUUUUUUGGACAACCAAUGUAACAUGAUUAAGAUCAUAAAUUUAAAGAGAAAAGACAUUAAAAGACACCUAAAGUUGUCCUAAAUUUUAAAAAAGACACCUAAAAUUUGCGGGCGUCCUAUUACCCCAUGGAACUAUUUCAAAUCGCAGUAAUUAAACACUUUUGACCCAUUUUCACAACAGUCAUGUUCUCACAUCUGGUAGGCGCGUGGAGGAGUAAAAAUACACUUCCAAACCAAUGUAAAAAUGCCACAUGGCAGUGACAAUUUGAAUUUUCUUCUUUAUUAAAAUACCUAUUCCCAUCUUCUACAAAACCUCCAUUGAUAUAUGUUGAAGAGCUUUCUAUCAACAACCAAAAAAAAAAAUUCUUCAUUCUCAGUGAAAUUUUCAUCUAGCUUUACUAGCUUCAAUUUCUUCUUUUUUUAUUUUAUUUAAAAGUUAUGAGAUUAACGAAUUUGUAAAUCCCGAAAGUGUAAUUGCAAACAAAUUUCAAAACUAGAUCAGUGAAGAAACAUUCAAACUCAAAUCAGUCCUAAGUUAACACUACAUACACAUGAACAAUAGAUAGCACAAGAAGAAAAUAACAACAAAUUACUAUAAAGAUGAUUUUUCAAAAAAUCACUACUAUAUAAAAAAAAUAUUUUUUAACCAAAAUUUGCAUUCAAACCAAGAAGCAAUUAACAUGUGAGCCUUCACUUCUUCGUUUUGACGUGAAAUGCUUAUCAAUUGAAAUUAUCACCGCAAAACUAAUUUACUGUGACUAUUGAAAUGCUUAGGGAUCAUUUGGUGUGAAGAAUAGGUACAAAUAGUCCUGGGAUAAAUAUUUAGUGGCACUUAAUUGAGUGUUUGGUUGUGAAGUUUGGGAUAACUUAUCCUGGGAUUAUGAAUUAGUGCCGGGAUAAGUUAUCCCUCAUAUUGGGUGGUAUAGUAAUCCCGGGAUAAAAUAGGUAAAUGACAAAUAUGUCCCUUUAAAUCAUUUUUAUACAUCAUUUUUCACAUUUAUGUAUAUUUACAUUUUUUUUUAAUACCAUGUAUAAUAAUAUUUACUACUCCUUAUCUUUAUGAUAAUUAUACAUAUUUUUCUAUUAAAAAAUUAUACUAUAUAAAUAUAAUUUUUAUUUAUGAAUUUAUUUGACUAAUUCUUAUGUUUAUUUUAUUUUGAUUUCUCAUAAAUUUUCUUCUCUUUAAUAAACUUAAGAGGGAAGUUCUAUUUUUAAGCUAAAUAAGAAAAAAGUUAUAUUUUUAAAUACACAUGGUACUUAUCAUGGGAAUACAUGAACAAAAAUAUUUAAGUUAAAUAAAAUAAAAUUUUUAUUUUUAAAAAAUGAAUAACUAAAAGCUACGCAAAAGAAAAAAUUUAAAAAAGUUUAAAAUAAAAGUGAAGGGUAAUUUUUGUAAACAAACAACUUGUUCUUAAAAUUUAUCAAGAUAUAUUAUUUUGAAUACAACCAACCAAACACUCAAUAAGAAAUAAUCUCAUGACAACUUAUCCCAUCAUAACUAAUCCCAACAUAACUCAUAUUCAAGCCAAACAACCCCUUCGGGUUUUGAUCAUCAAAGAGAGAGAGAUAGUAGAGUGAAAAUUUGAAAGGGGUUUAAGGUUAAAUGAAGUGGAUCAUGAUUAAAAUGUGAAUGGAUCAAGAUUUUAUCCAAUUUUUACUAAAUGGGUUGGAAAAAAUAUGUAAUUAUAUUAUUAAUUGGGAUGAGACUCACGCACAUGCAUUGAGAAUGCAUAUUGUGUUAAAAGUGUGCAUGUUUUGUGGGGUAAUAGGACAUCCGCAAAAUUAAGGUGUCUUUUUAAAAAUUCAAAAUACCUUCAGGUGUCACUUUAUGUCUUUUCUCUAAAUUUAAAAGAUAUUUCGAUACAUUCUCUCCCCCUCAUUUAACCUCUCAUGCCCCCACCCCCAAUAGUCCCCGUCCGGCCCUACCCCACACUCUACCCUCAUAAUGUUUAUUUGAAUUAUGUACAAUAUUUUUUAGAUAAUAUUUUUCAUUUAAGUAUUGAACACGAAGAAAUUAAUAAAAAUUCACUUAUUUUUUCAUAAAAUAUUUCCUUUAUCCUGUUUUGACAAAUGUAAAAAAGUCAUACCGACACAAAAUUAAAAGGUGCACGUGGGUAAAAAGAGGAAGUAUUAUAACAGUCUAGGUGUCAUUAUACUUAAUCCGUUAUAUCAAAAAUAUAUUUUUUAUUUUAUUUAUGUAUAUAAUCAAAAUAAUUUUAUUACUUUUUUUAUGGUAUUCUAAUUCAUAGUAUUAAAUAAGAACUAUUAAUAAUAAAAUUUCGAAUUCUAAAAUAUCAUUAAUAAAGUUAAUUUAAUCCUAAACAGGCCAAGUAGAGUCAAAUAAUAUGAAUGGAGGGAGUAUGCAUGAAGCCAAUCUAGAAAUUGUUCUAAUUGGUUUCACACUAAUGACACUAUUAUGAUAAAAUAUAUCUGAAGAUAUAUUUUUUUGUUUUAAAAUAAGAUAAGCAUGACAGUUGGCAGCUGGUACCUACUUUUACAUCAUUUAGUUAAACUUACUUAAUUAAGACACUAUUAAUGGGUCAUUUGGUAGGCCGCAUUAAAAUAAAUAAUCCAUGUAUUAUGUGUGAUAUUAUUUAGUACUAUAUUUGGUAGGAAUUUGGGUCUAUGUAUAACUAAUUCAUGGAUUAAUUAUACCUCCUACAUGGUAUUAUAGGGUGUAUUACUAAUACCUUCCAUUUGGAGAUAUUAGUAAUGCAUUGGAUAUAAUACCAUGGAUAAAUCUAUGUAAAGAUAAAAUUAUCCCUCAAAUUAUUUUAUUUAUUUUCUUGAUUUUAUGUUUUAUAUUUGUACUAUAAAAUUUAUUUAACUAAAUUAGCUUACAAAUUAUUUAGAGAAAAUUGUUUGUUACUACAUAAAUCCAACACAAAUUAAUAUAAUAUUUGAAAUGUGAGUUGCUUAGCAUUAACUAUAUAUAUAUAUAUAUAUAUUGUGUGUGGUUUCUAAUUAUUUGUAUUUGAACAAUUUAAAAUUGCAUACAUAUUAAAAUUAUAACUUGCAAUUUUUAUGUGUAAAUGUAGAUGAUUUAUUUAGUUUUACUAUUGUUUACGUCUUUUCAAUUUUAAAAAUUGAUAGUUUAUCUUUUUUUUAAUUGAAAAUUGACAUUUUGUAAGUAAUAAAUUUACUAAGAUGACAAUUAUUUAUCCUCAAAUAAUUUAAGUGAAAAAAAAGGCAUUUAUCUUCAAAUAAUUUAAGUGAAAAAAAAAAGGCAAACAUGACAAAAAAAUUGUUCUUCUCAUAGCUAGUUAGAAGACCAUAAAAAAUAAUAUUGUCCGGCAAUUAUUUAUCUUAACCUAAUUACUAAUAAUUCAAGGGUAUAAUUGGAAAGAAGUUUUUUAUAAAGUUUUAACCCAAUUCCAAAAUGGGGUAGGAACCAACUAACCAAACACUUGGUAAAAAUAAACCCUGCAUUACUAAUCCCUGCACUAUUAAUCCAUACAUUACUAAUCCAACAUUAGUAAUCCCUGCAUUAUUAUUUUUGUACCAAACGACCCAUUAGUUCAUGUUUAUAAUUAUUAUUCAACUUGUGUUCUUUCAUCUCUUUUUGCUUUUUUACUUUUAUUAUUUCUCUCUUUUUUUGGUAUUGUGAGUUGCCUGUUUUGAAUGUCUGACUAUGAUUUUCAAGAGACCAAUUUUAAAGACUACCUUUUAAUAUAUAUUAUAUUAAAAAACGGAAAACUCAUGGACUUAUAAUAAAAUGAAAUGUAACUACUAAACAUUCAAAUAUAAAUUAAUCAUGUCUUCAUAUUUUUAAAAAAGAAACUAAUUUUUAAUUUAUUAUAUAUUAAAGAAAAAUGAAGGUGUAUUAUCUUUACGAAAUAAAAGAAAAGGUCUUAGCUAAAUUCGCAUAAUAAAUAGAUCAUUAUAGUGUCAAAUGGUCAAGAUCAACUUUUUUUUAAAAAAAAAAAAUUAUCAAAAAUAUUUUGAAAAAACAGUAGUAUCUAUUUGAGUGAUAAUUUUUUAAAACAGCUUUUACGUAUCAAAAAAUAGACCCUGCCUAAAUAUACUUGUUUUUUUUUACCAAACACUUUUUUCCUUAAAAAUAUAAGUGCAUUCAGAAAUUUAAAAAGUAUAUAUUUCGUCUUUUAAAAAUUUGGCAACUAUCAAACUCAUAAAACAACAGUUUGAAACUUUUCAAUUGGAGACCUUUGACUUUUCGUUAAACAAAUAGCUAAAACAUGCAUAUCAUCAAAUAUUGCUUCAGUUGGUUAUCUUUUUGUUUACGUUAACAAAAUAAUUAGUAUAAUAUUAGUAUUAAAUAAUUAUUAUUUACGUUCAUCAUGUUUUGUUUACUCCAAUCUAAUCCAUGUUGUCUGGCAGGGCAGAGGUAGGUAGGAUGAGGGAUCCAAAGUUGGUGCAUUCUAUCGUAAAUAGAACUCUAGCUCUAUUUGUGAGUUGAGUUUUUGUUGAGUAAUAUUAUUUUUCGUGUGGAACUAUACUGGGUUGGAUAUGUAUGUGUUGUUCGAAACGACCAAUAAUAUUCUAAAAGCAUUUUAUCUUUUUCUUCUUAUGACUCUUUUUUUUCCUUUUCAAUUUUAUACCAAGAUCCCUAUUCAAACAUGGAGGUUGGUUACAUGGCAGAAACCUUCUAAUGACUGACUGAAAUGUUGGUACUGAUGGUAGGUUUAUAAGGGACAAUGGGAAAACUGGUAUUGAUGGUGUAAUCAGAGAUGAGAAUUUAGAUUAUGUUUCUCGGGACACUUUAAAAAUAUCAACGAGUGCGUGUCGGAUGGAUUUGACAAAGUUUUGGAGAGUUCGAGAAACAUAGUGGAGAAAAAAAUUGUAACAAAAAGUUGUCAUGUUUCAAAAGUGCAGCAGCAGAAGAAAAAAAUGUUGCAUCCUUAGCCUCAAAACUGAAACAUGUAUUUACAUUAUACAGUAAGCCUGCUAUAAAAAAAUUGAACAAAUUGCUUAAUUACAAGUAUAAAUACACAUGGAGGUGGUCUAGCACCCUCGAGAACACAAGAAGUUAGAAUGAGUCAGACUUACCAUGGAUGAAAUGACAUUACGUGUCUGUUUGAUCUUGAAACUGAACUUAAUCGAACAUAUUAGUUGUAGAUGCAGAAGAAGAGCCCAUGUCAGUUCGAAUAGUUAUGGUGUUUUGAGUUUGGGUUUGAAUUAGCUUCUGAUUUUGCCUCUCUUGAUGGAAAUCUUUCAUGGCUUUAAACCUCAGAUCAUUGGAAUAAGUACUUGCCUCUGGAAUUUCAUCUGGAAUAGCGAUUCGUCCUUCAAGCAUAGACACUACCUCGGACAUGAUAGGCCUGAGUGAGGGAGUGGCACUAGUGCACAAGAGUGCCACUUUUACUAUUUUUUCCACUUCUUGUUUAUUAAUAUCAGACCCCAAUCUCUGAUCUAUGAGCUCCUCUAUACUCCCACUUAGAUGCAAGUGACAGGCCUGUAACAGUGUAGCUUUUCAGGCACAGCCAGUAAUUUCAAUGGAAGAGUGAAAAAUGAAGAAAGAAUUGGAAGAUCUUUAUAUUGCCAUCGAAACAUUCAAGCUGAGCCUUGAUAAGAGAGAUACAACAAGCAAACAGGGAUCAGAUUUAUACCCAAUCUAAGAGACAAAUGCUAGUGUGGCUCGGCAUGUAGUUAUUGUUGUUCUUUCCACUGACAUCAAAAUUUUUAGUGGCAGUUUUUAUUUGCUUCAGAGUAAAACAAACCAUCUGCAGCUCUACACCAUUGAGAUCUGUCCAAAAAAUAAGGUAGAUAUGAGUUACAGAAUUUUGUGUUCUCUUGUGAUAAAUAAAUUCUUAUCAUUGCAUUAGCAUUGACAUGGCUAUCUUUUUCUUGAAAUGGUGAACCCCACUGCUCCUAAACUCUUACACAAAUACCUACUGUUCUUAAAAUUCAUGUACCAGUAAGAUUUGAUACAACGAAGAUGUGUAACAAGCAUUAAUUAAGGUGUUUCUAGAUUUGAUACAAUAAUGAUGAGUCUCCUAGAUUUUCAUAAAAUAAUGAAUCUCCUAGGUCAAUCAAUGUGUUAAGCUAUUACAUUAAACAAGACUUUGGAUUUCAAGACCUUCAAUAUGAUUAAUCAUGCAUGUUUGUAUUUUGAUUACUUUCGAAUAUACAAUGGAUUGCAUUCAACAAAAUCCACCGAAGAGUAGAUUAAUAACUACUAUUUAAAUUUGCAAUUUUAGAAACUUUUCAAGCUCACCUCUUCUUUUACUUUCUCUACAUAGACAGCCUUUCCACCAAAGAAUGCUCAGUAGGAAAAAAGUGAUACAUGCAGCCAAAACUCCAACAAUAACAUAAAUUAUUGUGGUCUUUCUGUCCUUGUUUGAACAGAACUUGAAAGCUGUACCAAAGUCCAAAAGAAAAUGAAAAAAGGGUAAAUCAGAGCAGCAAAGUGAGCAGAACCAUAAAUGCAGGUCAUCAUUCAUUUAAAAGACUGAAGAAGCGGCAUGCUUUAUAAAAUCCAUCUAUCUGCAGAUCCAUCCUCUAACUCAAGCAUAGAUCAGGACUUCGAUCCAAGCUAUGGAUCCAUUUACAAGCCUUAUUAGCAUCUCCACUUGCCAAAUGCUGUGAAUUCAUUUUUCCUCCAUGUUUAGAAACUUCCUUAAGCGCUAAUUAUUGCACCAAAAUGAUGAAUAAGAAUAUAGUUCUCCAUUUUUAUUGCACCAUAAUGAUGAAUAAGAAUAUAUGCCUCGGGACGGGUAUAUAUGUAAAGUUGGCAUCUCUGUUUUAUGUAUUUCGAGAAUGUCCAAUGAACCAAAUGAUUGGGGGAUAUAUAGCUACUAUAUCUUUUUUAUCAGUUAAGGGUAAGAUUCGGUUUUCUUUCUCAAGUCUUUCGAGCUUGCUGUGUAUUUGAAAUAUGGGUGUCCUGUUUGAGUAGUAUGUUUGCUGAAGUUUGGUUCUCUUAUUACUCAAAGAAAGUAAAAUAAAAUUUAGAUGUCUGUCUAUUAGCUGCUGGAAUGUGCUAUCACUCCUCUUCGUCUCGUUUGUUCUUAUUCUUAGUUUAUGUUUGAUCAUAGCUGAAAGCUUGGGCGAUCUCGGUUUUCCCUUCCUAUUUGAUUUUUUUUUUCUAGUCUUAAUGUGAGUUUAGUUUCAUUAUCAAAAAAAAGUUCAGUUUCAAAUAAUCAUUUUAUCAUAGAAACUCUGAUUGUAUGUGUCCUAGUUGGAGCUUUUUGAGUUUAGUUUACACAAUAUGACAUGGAUUUGGCCUUGAGUAGCGUGUUCAGAUUAGUGUAUCAUUUCUCUUUAUGUAAUGUUUCUCGGCAAUUCAGUAGCGUUCUGAUUCUAUCUUGCUGUUUUGGGCGAGCUUUAUUUCAUUAAAAUUGUGAUAACCUACCUUUGGGAGUUAUUUUCAUUAAUCUUCUUUCCUGCUAUGCAUGUUAUCUCUAUUUGUGUGUCAUAAAAUGUUUCCUGUGAGUUCUGAAAGUUCGAUUAUAACUCAACAGCAGCGGCCACUGAUUGAUUUUGGACCAAGAGUCCAGAUUCUUUCAAAUUUUAUAUGAUAUGAUAUGAUGAUUCAAAAGAUAAAAGGGGGGUAAUGUAUGCUAUCCAUUAAAAUUUACUCAAAUUAUUUCAUUCGGUCUAAUGAUUUGUCAAGUUAUCGAAAAUGACCUCUCUGGUGGGUACAAAUAAAAUUUAGGUACACUUUACUCUCUCUAGACCCCACUUUAUGGAAUAACACUGGCUAUGUUGUUGUUGUUGUUCAAGGAGUUCAUGACAUCCCACCAAAAGUCAUCUUCUCUUUCUAUUUUCUUAUCAGAAAAUGCACACUAUUAGUACAAUUUAUGUCUUUGAAGUUUGAAGAGAGGAAAGGGAGGAUGUUUCAUAUAUGACAACACUUUUGGAAAACUCACUUUCCAGAGACACAACUUUUAUAAACAAAAUAAAUGACAUUAAGAAAAGUAUGUCGCGGGAUGAUCAACAUUUCAUUCUUCAUAGUUUUUUCGUCUUAUAUAAUACAACAUUGAGCAUACAGGGAGACUUAUUUAGAGGUAGCUGUAGAAGGAAAGGUAGAAGAAGAGUGAUCAGUACCCUUUGUGUCAGUUGAAAAAAAGACUGAUUGGUUUUCACUAGAAGUUACUUGCAUCUCAUCAUAUUUGUCUCUUAAACCUUGAAAAUUAAAUUCAUCAUCGUAGCCACUUGAAUCGAAGUUAGACUCAUCAACGUUCAAACGACCUUCAAGCAUGUUCACUACUGCAGACAUGUUUGGCCUUAGUGCUGGAGAUGGAUUAGUACAUUGUAAGGCCACUUUAAUCAUCCUCAAUGCCUCCUUCUUGUCGUAAUUGGAACCUAACCUUGGGUCCAAAAACUUACCUUUUUUUUGUAAUACCAGGGACUGAAAGAAGAACAAUAUUGGAUGGGAAAACUUGUGAAAGAUACUUUUUGAAAUACUACCAAGUCUACUUGAUCAACACACAAUGAAGUUCUCAUCAAGCAAACUGAUUCACUAUUUAUGGAACUGAUACCAAGAGAUGCUGGUUUCUUACCCAAUCAAGAAGACAGACAUUCUCAUCAGGAUGAUAUUUCAAGUGAAGACAGAGUAUUACUAGCUUCCAGAGAGAUGGCAGAUACUGAAG